CCUACGGGCGGCAGCAGUGGGGAAUAUUGGACAAUGGGGGCAACCCUGAUCCAGCCAUGCCGCGUGUGUGAAGAAGGCCCUCGGGUUGUAAAGCACUUUCAGUGAGGAAGAACGCCUGGUGGUUAAUACCCAUCAGGAAAGACAUCACUCACAGAAGAAGCACCGGCUAACUCCGUGCCAGCAGCCGCGGUAAUACGGAGGGUGCGAGCGUUAAUCGGAAUUACUGGGCGUAAAGCGCGCGUAGGUGGCUUGAUAAGCCGGUUGUGAAAGCCCCGGGCUCAACCUGGGAACGGCAUCCGGAACUGUCAAGCUAGAGUGCAGGAGAGGAAGGUAGAAUUCCCGGUGUAGCGGUGAAAUGCGUAGAGAUCGGGAGGAAUACCAGUGGCGAAGGCGGCCUUCUGGACUGAAACUGACACUGAGGUGCGAAAGCGUGGGUAGCAAACAGGAUUAGAUACCCGAGUAGUC
rnacentral:rRNA from 1 species